GACGAACGCUGGCGGCGUGCUUAACACAUGCAAGUCGAACGGAAAGGCCCUGCUUUUGUGGGGUGCUCGAGUGGCGAACGGGUGAGUAACACGUGAGUAACCUGCCCUUGACUUUGGGAUAACUUCAGGAAACUGGGGCUAAUACCGGAUAGGAGCUCCUGCUGCAUGGUGGGGGUUGGAAAGUUUCGGCGGUUGGGGAUGGACUCGCGGCUUAUCAGCUUGUUGGUGGGGUAGUGGCUUACCAAGGCUUUGACGGGUAGCCGGCCUGAGAGGGUGACCGGCCACAUCGGGACUGAGAUACGGCCCAGACUCCUACGGGAGGCAGCAGUGGGGAAUAUUGCACAAUGGGCGGAAGCCUGAUGCAGCAACGCCGCGUGCGGGAUGACGGCCUUCGGGUUGUAAACCGCUUUCGCCUGUGACGAAGCGUGAGUGACGGUAAUGGGUAAAGAAGCACCGGCUAACUACGUGCCAGCAGCCGCGGUGAUACGUAGGGUGCGAGCGUUGUCCGGAUUUAUUGGGCGUAAAGGGCUCGUAGGUGGUUGAUCGCGUCGGAAGUGUAAUCUUGGGGCUUAACCCUGAGCGUGCUUUCGAUACGGGUUGACUUGAGGAAGGUAGGGGAGAAUGGAAUUCCUGGUGGAGCGGUGGAAUGCGCAGAUAUCAGGAGAAACACCAGUGGCGAAGGCGGUUCUCUGGGCCUUUCCUGACGCUGAGGAGCGAAAGCGUGGGGAGCGAACAGGCUUAGAUACCCUGGUAGUCCACGCUGUAAACGGUGGGUACUAGGUGUGGGGUCCAUUCCACGGGUUCCGUGCCGUAGCUAACGCUUUAAGUACCCCGCCUGGGGAGUACGGCCGCAAGGCUAAAACCCAAAGGAAUUGACGGGGCCCCGCACAAGCGGCGGAGCAUGCGGAUUAAUUCGAUGCAACGCGUAGAACCUUACCUGGGUUUGACAUGGAUCGGGAGCGCUCAGAGAUGGGUGUGCCUCUUUUGGGGUCGGUUCACAGGUGGUGCAUGGCUGUCGUCAACUCGUGUCGUGAGAUGUUGGGUUAAGUCCCGCAACGAGCGCAACCCUUGUUCACUGUUGCCAGCACGUUAUGGUGGGGACUCAGUGGAGACCGCCGGGGUCAACUCGGAGGAAGGUGGGGAUGACGUCAAGUCAUCAUGCCCCUUAUGUCCAGGGCUUCACGCAUGCUACAAUGGCUGGUACAGAGAGUGGCGAGCCUGUGAGGGUGAGCGAAUCUCGGAAAGCCGGUCUCAGUUCGGAUUGGGGUCUGCAACUCGACCUCAUGAAGUCGGAGUCGCUAGUAAUCGCAGAUCAGCAACGCUGCGGUGAAUACGUUCCCGGG
rnacentral:rRNA from 1 species